rnacentral:rRNA from 1 species
UGGGGAAUCUUCCGCAAUGGGCGAAAGCCUGACGGAGCAACGCCGCGUGAGUGAAGACGGCCUUCGGGUUGUAAAGCUCUGUUAUACGGGACGAAUAAUCUUGUGGUUAAUACCCAUAAGAAGUGACGGUACCGUAAGAGAAAGCCACGGCUAACUACGUGCCAGCAGCCGCGGUAAUACGUAGGUGGCAAGCGUUGUCCGGAAUUAUUGGGCGUAAAGGGAGCGCAGGCGGGCCGGUAAGUCUUACUUAAAAGUGCGGGGCUCAACCCCGUGAUGGGAGAGAAACUAUCGGUCUUGAGUACAGGAGAGGAAAGCGGAAUUCCCAGUGUAGCGGUGAAAUGCGUAGAUAUUGGGAAGAACACCAGUGGCGAAGGCGGCUUUCUGGACUGCAACUGACGCUGAGGCUCGAAAGCCAGGGGAGCGAACGGGAUUAGAUACCCCGGUAGUCCUGGCCGUAAACGAUGGAUACUAGGUGUGGGAGGUAUCGACCCCUACCGUGCCGGAGUUAACGCAAUAAGUAUCCCGCCUGGGGAGUACGGCCGCAAGGCUG